rnacentral:misc_RNA from 1 species
GAUGAAGAACGUAGCGAAAUGCGAUACGUAAUGUGAAUUGCAGAAUUCAGUGAAUCAUCGAAUCUUUGAACGCAUAUUGCGCUCUUUGGUAUUCCGAAGAGCAUGCUUGUUUGAGUAUCAGUAAACACCUCAAAGACUUCAAUUUGUUUUGAAUGGCUUUGGCCUUGAGCAAUCCCAACACCAGUCUUUACGAUCGGUGGAGGGUUGCUUGAAAUGCAGGUGCAGCUGGACAUUCUCCUGAGCUAAAAGCAUAUUUAUUUAGUCCCGUCAAACGGAUUAUUACUUUUGCUGCAGCUAACAUAAAGGGAGUUUGACCGUAUUGGCUGACUGAUGCAGGAUUUCACAAGGGUCGGCAACGAUUCUUGUAAAACUCGAUCUCAAAUCAAGUAAGACUACCCGCUGAACUUAAGCAUAUCAAUAAGCGGAGGA